GACGAACGCUGGCGGCGUGCUUAACACAUGCAAGUCGAACGGAAAGGCCCUGCUUUUGUGGGGUGCUCGAGUGGCGAACGGGUGAGUAACACGUGAGUAACCUGCCCUUGACUUUGGGAUAACUUCAGGAAACUGGGGCUAAUACCGGAUAGGAGCUCCUGCUGCAUGGUGGGGGUUGGAAAGUUUCGGCGGUUGGGGAUGGACUCGCGGCUUAUCAGCUUGUUGGUGGGGUAGUGGCUUACCAAGGCUUUGACGGGUAGCCGGCCUGAGAGGGUGACCGGCCACAUUGGGACUGAGAGACGGCCCAGACUCCUACGGGAGGCAGCGGUGUGGAAUAUUGCACAAUGGGCGGAAGCCUGAUGCAGCAACGCCGCGUGCGGGAUGACGGCCUUCGGGUUGUAAACCGCUUUCGCCUGUGACGAAGCGUGAGUGACGGUAAUGGGUAAAGAAGCACCGGCUAACUACGUG
rnacentral:rRNA from 1 species